UACGUAGGGGGCAAGCGUUAUCCGGAUUUACUGGGUGUAAAGGGAGCGUAGACGGCAGCGCAAGUCCGAAGUGAAAGCCCGGGGCCCAACCCCGGGACUGCUUUGGAAACUGUGAAGCUGGAGUGCGGGAGGGGCAAGCGGAAUUCCUGGUGUAGCGGUGAAAUGCGUAGAUAUCAGGAGGAACACCGGCGGCGAAGGCGGCCUGCUGGACCGUAACUGACGUUGAGGCUCGAAAGCGUGGGGAGCAAACAGG
rnacentral:rRNA from 1 species